GCUUGGCUGGCUCAGUCAGUAGAGCAUGCAACUCUUGAUCUCAAGGCCAUGAGUUCAAGCCUCAAGUUGGGCC
rnacentral:tRNA from 1 species